CAAGCGUCUGUGCAGAAGGACUCCAAUUUAUUAAACCGUGUGUGAGAUGAGAGAAGGACGGUGUAUUAGUCUACUCAGCUGCUGUAACGAAACACCACGGGCUGGGCAGCUUAAACAACAGACAUUUCUUUCUCCCAGUUCAACAGGAGGGAAGUCCAAGAUCAAGGUGUCAGCAGGUCUGGUUUCCUCCGAAACUUCUCUCUUUAGCUUGUAGCUGGCCAUCUUCUCCCUGUGUCCUCAUGUGGUCAUCCCUUCGGGCACGUACCCCUCGUGUCUCUUUGUGUGUUUCUCGUAAGGACACCAGACAGAUUGUAAGGCCCACCCUCCCAGUCUCCUUUUAACUUAAUCCCCUCCUUAAAAACCUACCAUCUGAGAUACUGGGGGUUAGGAUUUCAACAUACGAAUUUUCGAGGGACACAAUUCAGUCCCUAAAAGAUGUUAGUAGUAUUUUUCUGAUUGAAGAGAUUAUAAUUUCACAUUUUUCUUCACACACUUCUAUUUUUCUUAUCCAACUUUUUUCCUAGUGAACAUGUAUUACCAUAAAAUUAAUUUUAAAAGGAAAAAUAGGGCACCACGAAAGUUCUUGUGCAUAAAGCACAUGCUACAUAGAGAGUGCAGGCCAGAGCACAAGGGGGCUUGCCACCGGCCACCCCUCCCAAGUCAACUCCUGGCGUGACCAUUCCCAACAACCAAGGAGGCGAGAAGUAAGACGAAGAUGGUAGAUGCCCCCUCCCCGGGGAAUGAGCAAGACCUGUGCAGAAUCUGAAGGCGAUCAGGUGAAAUCCAUUGCCCCUGUCCCUGGGGCUUUGAGGAAUGGGGGCUCGCUGGUCAUCAUUCGUCUUUGCAUUCAGAGAUCCUGCUGUUCUUCCCCCCCCCCCCCCCGCCCCCGGUCUGCACAGUCAGCCAGACUUGAGCCCCAGUGCUCCGUGGGGCUCAUUGUCUAUCCCGAUGUGUCUAAUAUCUAACAAAGUUGCGUUCACUUCUGGUUAAGGAUGAGAUCCCCUCCCCUCCAUUUCUACUGUAAAAAUAUUUUGACUAGAAAAAGAAAACCUCCCAUGAUCUCACCAUCUCAGGCAAGCUUCUUUUUUUUUGUUUUUUCCUUUUUUCUCUCUGGGUUUUUGUUUUUGUUUCCAAUUUCCGUAUAGCCUCUGUGCACGGCCCGUGUACUCAGGGAUUUAAGCAACACAUCAGGAAGACAGAAGAGAUGACUUCGAGGACUUCCUUUUUUCAUAGAAAAUGAUUUUGUAGCCCUCUCUGCCUCCAGAGCACACACCUACACACCCUGGGUAUUUUGUUGGGUUAACCAAAGACCAAAACAGCACCAGCCUUGUCCUUAACUCAGAAAGGACCUCCAGAUGGAAGGAAAAAGGCUCUGAGGGGGGCGGGGGAGCGGAGGACAGGGGGUAUAAGCCACCAGAACCCUUAUUGAGAGCAAUUUGGCAACAGAUAUUGUAUUUAAAGACUGAUAUUUUUUGUAUCCUAUGACCCAGGAUUUCAGUUUUGAGAUACGCCUCAUAGGAAACAGGGAUGUAGAAAAGAGUUACCAUCCCAAAUGUUUUCACAGCCCUGUUUACGACAGAAAAAAAUUGGAAGCAAUCUUGAUAUCUAACUGUAAAAAGAAUGGUUAAAUACACAUGCCACACCAUGCAAAAAGGCACAGAUGUGCGGGCUCCUCCGGGCAGGAAGGGCUCCUCAGCACCCCUCCCCCUGCCCACAGGAAGAGCCACGGGACCCAUGGGGAGGCCCAGGCCCAGGUGCAUCCCAGGCCAGCAGCACUGAGAGUGAGGAAUAGGGGACCGAGGGUGGCUUUGCAGUCAGAUCAGCACGGGUUCAAAUCCUGCUCGGUCUUGCCUUAGCCGGGUGGCCUUGGCAGCUCUUCCACCUCAACCCUUGGAAAGUGGGUUGAAAUCCCGAGCCUGCAGCACUCUCAAAGGAAUUACACCGGGCAGCACACGUGGGAGCUGGCAUUUGCCCUGGGUCACCCAGCAAGCAUGUCACAGGGCCAGGGUUUAAAAUUAGGUCCACCCACUUCCAGGAUCAUGACCUUUUCUGUUCCUUAUGCCAUGCUGCCUCUUUGAGAUAUCAUCCCAAAGCCCUGGGGAAGCAGCGGCGGCAGGAGCCACAGACAGACUGCCAAGAAGUGGGGCUCCAGCUGGGGGUCCGAACAGGGUUUUUGUCCCCGGGACUCAGUUGAUUGAAGAGGUCAUGGAAACCAGCAUCUUUCACCGGGAGCCCCCAAGUCCUGGAACUGGGGUGCUGGAGGGGGAUCCAAAGAAAACAGUCGUGGGUUUGGAAGCUGACGGUGUGCCCCAUCACGCCCUGCAGUCGGGGGGCCAAGGGCUGCACUCGCGGGCCGGGAGGGGCAUCUGGUUUCACUCGGCCACAAUCAGUGCUUUUACAAUUGACAAGGGAGGCAGGAGGGGACUUUUCAGCCUGUUGCAGAUAGAAAGUGCACUGGGACAAUGACAUGGAAGAGAUUUUUUGCCCUCCCUUCAGGAGAGGCUCAUCGGAGGACACCGGCCCCCAGGCAGGUGGUCUGGGAGAAGGCCCUGGCGUCCCCUCCGUGUUCCCCUUCACCCUGAAAAAAAGAUAUGUCCAGAGACUGUCACUCUGUGACACUCUUUGUCACAUUUGUGUCCUUCUUUUGGCAGCCUUUCCGGGGUUCCCUUACACAUUCCACUGGAUAUGGGGUGUCUCGCCAGAGGACACCUGGGUGGUGAUAAUCUAUUUAGAAGCAGGAAGGCAGCUCAGGAACAAAAGGAACGUCAUUCUCACAUGUGAAGAGAUGUCCUGGGCCCAUGAUGGCAGCCAAAUCAAGCCAUAAACAGAGCUCUUCCUCCAGGCCAGGCCCGCAGCGAUGAAACUGACAGGCCUGUUUCCUUCCUUCCCUCUUUCUCUCCCUCCUUUCCUCCUUCCUUCUCUUCUUCCUCUUCAAAGAAACUAAAUGGAAACAAAGCUGAGGAUCCUGCAGGCGCACUGGGCACCAGAGCAGAACGGCCCAGAGACCCGUGCAGGGACACAGAUCCACCCCAACGUGACUUGACCCAGGUACCAUCACCCUCCCUGGGAUGAGAAAGAGAAAGAAAGGGAUGGAGGGAACAUUUAUUGAGCACCUACUGAGUACCAAGUGUGCUCACAGGCCUGUGAGGUGGGUACGGUGCUUCCCGUCUGCAGAGCUGAGGCUGAGAACGGGAGUCAGGAGAGGUCCUGGCAGAGACAGGACCGGAACCGGCAAGGUCUGUCUCCAGAGCUCGCGCCUCCGCCCUCCAGCAGCAAUGAGCUGCACAAACGAAUGCCCCAUUCUGAAAACUAGUGGCUUUUGCCAAAAGCCCAUAAUAAAAAGACCGCCCCACAUGUUCAUACAAGGAAUACUAAACAAAAAGGAGAAUGAAUGAUAUCCACUACACAAAAUUAGAAUGGAGCCUGUGACACUGUGGGGCAGCCUCUUGCCAGCUCAUGAGAGCUGAUUGUGAAAUAUUCUGGAAUUUUGCAAGCUGGUUGUUAAAUCAUUGGUGGCUUGAAAUCAGUCAAGGUGGAAGUAUUUACAUCACUGAAAUUGGCAAAUACUACAAAUAGGGCCUUUCUUUUUUUUCUUCUUUUUCUCUCUCUUUUUUUUUCUUUUUGGAGAGCCAAUUUAUCAGCACACCACUGGAUGGAUCUUACAGAUGUUGAGCAGAAGUAACUAGACAUAAAAGGGAACACACUGCUUGAUCCCAUUUAUAAGGAGUUCAAGAACGGGCAAAGCGCAUCCAUGGUGAUGGAAGUCAGAGCAGUGGUCCGUCUGAGGUAUGAUGGAGGCACCGGGGGAACUGGUCACGUUCCGUGUCUUGAUGUUGCUGGUGGGGAUAGCAGCAUAUUCAGGGUGUGGAAGUUCAUCCAGCCUCACACUCGGGAUAGAGUGUUUUUCACAGACGCAACCUCAUAACAUUCUCACACAUCUUGGUGGGGAGGCAGGAACGGAGGAAGGCAAAGAGAUCGCUGAGUGAACCUUUAAGAGAGGUCAAAUGAGGUUCCACAAGCAAGACCCCCCAAGACUCAGGCUCAGGAGCCAAAGGUUCCAGCUCUGCAAGCUUGGGCCAACUCUCUAGUCGCUCUGGGCCUCAGUUUCCCCAUCUG
ensembl:lncRNA